AUUCACAAGGCUCCGUCCUCAUGUCUUAGUCACCUCCCUAAGGCCCCAUCUCUUAAAAACAACACAUCGGGGAUUAAAUUUCAACAUAUGAAUUUUGGACGGACACAAACAUUGUCACUCUUUGAGUUGAACUGCCAACAUGACUCAAACGUUUCCUUCUUAAUGUAAACAAAAGGGCAAGCAUCCCAACAAAAUUAAAUUCAUUUGACUAAAUAAUAGCCCAGAGCUUUAAAAUUAAUUGCUUGAACAACUGUAAUAUAAGCCCAGAGAAACAAGCUGUUACAUAGUGGAAUGAGAAGAGUCAGGGGAAGUAUGAUUUUUACAGGCUGUGGUAAAAAUUAUUGUUACAUAAAGCUAUAAAGCUAUUUGUGGGCCUAACAGAAGUUUUCUCUUUUUUUCUCCUAAUGCUUUUAACUUACAAUGAGAAAGGAAGCAUAGAAAAUUGGAAAGUUCACGGAAUAUGAUUUUCAGCUCUUCCACUAGAUAUGUAGCCUUGAGCAGAGACAGUUCCAUUUAAGCAGGGUACCUCACGGCAGAAAAUCCGGGGAUUCCAAGGCGGAAGGCUGGCUCAGAAGUCCUUUGGAAAACCUUACAAAAAUACAGAUCCCCUCACCAUGGCCUAUCGCCCCGAAGCCGAAAUCUAGCUUGUAUAGUUCCUGGGAGAAACAGCCUUGAAUGGAAACCUCCCUCCCGCGGGUCGAUCUUACCUGCUAGGUAAGAGGCAACCCAGCUCCCGCGCCCCCGCCUCCCCCGGGCCUCCCACUAGGGGCUUCACAGCCGCAGUGCCCCCCCGUCGCCCCCACCCUCACUCCUGCGUCUUCCCGAGCUCGCCCCCUCCCGUUUUCCCAGACUCCCCUCGUGCUUUCGGGUAGCCACCCAAACACCCCCUCCCGCGCCCGCCGCGGGGAUU